CAAGACAAUUGGUGACAUUGAUCUCAGGUUUUCUCAGGAAGCUAUUAAAAAUAACUUUUUCUCUGGCUCCACUGCCACUGUUGUUCUUUUGUAUGGUCGGCAAAUUUUAGUUGCCAAUGUCGGUGACUCGAAGGCUCUUCUUUUAUCGGAGAAAAUUCAGUCUGCUCUGAGGACUGAAGCUCAUCUAUCGGCAACAGCAUUAACAUAUGAUCAUCAUCCAGACAGAGAAGAUGAAAGAGCUCGAAUUGAAGCAGCUGGUGGUUCUGUCACUAACUGGGGUGUGCCUCGAGUCAGUGGAGUGCUUGCCAUGUCUCGUUCCAUUGGUGAUGUAUAUCUGAAAAGGUAUGGCGUUAUAGCUGAGCCCGAGUAUACAGGUUGGAGGCCUUUAACUACUAAUGAUACGCAUUUGGUGGUUGCAUCUGAUGGCAUAUUUGAGAGCUUGACGCCACAGGAUAUUGGUAAUCUGAUUUUUCAAUGGAAUUCACAUUUCCAAGGAAGUGAAGAUUCAAAGAUGCCAUUCUCAUGCCUGUCUUCAACCUCAUUGGCAGAGUGUAUUAUAAAUACUGCAUAUGAGAAAGGCAGCCAUGAUAACUUGUCUGUUAUAAUUGUUCCCUUGACUUGACACCCCAUAAGUUUACCAAUGAUUUCUAAGGUGCAAUGAGGAAGUAGGAAGGACCAACAUCAAUCACUAAGCUUUAGAAUUAUAAUUGCUGAUGGGAUGAGAUCCCUUCGCGCAAUCGUUUGACAUGGCAUGAACUUUAGAAGUACAGUUGGAAAGCAAAUUUAUAGUGGAAAGUGAACGCC
rnacentral:misc_RNA from 1 species